CAGGCCUAACACAUGCAAGUCGAACGGAUGUAGCAAUACAUUAGUGGCGCACGGGUGCGUAAUACGUAACUAACCUACCCAGAACUGGGGGAUAGCCCGCCGAAAGGCGGAUUAAUACCGCAUAACACGAGGUGGCGGCAUCGUCUCUUCGUUAAAGAUUUAUUGGUUUUGGAUGGGGUUGCGGGUCAUUAGCUAGUUGGGUAGGUAACGGCUGCCCAAGGCGACGAUGACUAGGGGAGCUGAGAGGCUGGUCCCCCACACGGGCACUGAGAUACGGGCCCGACUCCUACGGGAGGCAGCAGUAGGGAAUAUUGGGCAAUGGGCGAGAGCCUGACCCAGCCAUGCCGCGUGCAGGACGAAGGCUUUCUGAGUCGUAAACUGCUUUUGACAGGGAAGAAUAAGGCUUACGUGUAAGCUGAUGACGGUACCUGCAGAAUAAGCACCGGCUAACUCCGUGCCAGCAGCCGCGGUAAU
rnacentral:rRNA from 1 species